AAAAAAUCUGUCAGUCUCA
rnacentral:miRNA from 1 species